rnacentral:SRP_RNA from 1 species
UCGUGCUAGACGGGGAGCUAGCGGUGCCCUGUAACCCGAAAUCCGCUUAUGCGGGGUUGAAAGUCCUUUGUGAGAACCGUGAUAAGGGAUUGUCCUUUUUUCACUUCAGGAGAUGGAGUGGAACUCACGUGACAGACGCUUAUGAACCCCGUCAGGUCCGGGAGGAAGCAGCGGUAAGUAAGGCAGUCUGUGUCAUGAGCAACUCUACUUCUUUUCUCCGAGUGAUGAGUACUUUCCCUUCAUGAUUCGAAAAAGGAUGCACGA